AUGCUCUCUCUCUUCCAUCCUCAACCUUUACUUUCCUCCAUCUUUCUCACUCUUCAUUCUCCAUUUCUUCAAUUCACAGAAGAAUCAGAGAACCUACUCUCUGCUUCCUCCAUAAACCUCUCCCUUUUCUUCUUCAUCUUCAUCAUCAUCCUCGACUGUAACAACUUCAUCUUCAUACAACUUCAAGAACACUACAACGUAACAAAAAACGCAGAAACGCAUAAAUUCAGAGGAAGAAGACUCAAUAUCGCAAGCAAAAGAAGAAGAAUCGAGAGAAAAUCACAUACCUGA